CCCUCCUGGGCCGCGCCGAUAGCUUAUCGGGUCCACUCUGGGGGCGCCCAGUGCUACAACCGGAAACGCGGCUGGAGGCCAGUGGAUGCUUGAUGGAGCAGUUCGCGCCGUGGUGCGCGCGCGCCAGGGCUUAGGCUCCAAGUAAAGGCCUUCUUCAUCCAUCCACCCACAACCAGGGGUGUGGAAGGGGAAAUCAGGCUUUGACAUAAAUGAAUGGAGACUGAUACUCCUGGGAGAAGAGGAUGUUGUCCCCAGGAUCCAUGUGGUCUGCACCAAUAUCUUCUUUGUUUGGAAUGCACCUUUUUCCCAGUUCCCAGGAAGUGGCUGUGGAAUUUGCUUCCAAAUAUAGACUCGGGUGGCCCAGGCUGCUGCAGACAGCCCCUUUGGCCUCCCAGGCUGAAUGGCAGAACAGUGAUUGCCUUCCAGGAGGCCCAGGCCCACAGGCCUCUGCUUGGAGCUGUCGGUAAAAAUAAUAAUCAUAAAAGUGGCCAAUAAAAGGAGGGGGGGGCACUGAGCAUUAGGUUAUGAGCCCAGAAAACCAUCUGACCCGAGGUGAUGUUUGGGCGGUGGCUGCCCCGCCCUCUAAACACCCACACCCACACACUCACACACACUGCCUUCCACAAUGACACACAGGCUCACACAAACUCCCACCACACACAUGCACAAGACCCCAUGUUCCACAGGCUCACAGCUGUUUUCACAUAAGGAGGUCCACAGAAAAAGUGCAUAGGUAACUAUUUUCGAAAUGCCCCCUCUCAAGGAAGCACAUGUAAUGACACAGACACACACAACUAACACAACAGCACAGAGAUACGUAAAGCUCCCCCUCAAAUGACUCAGUCCUAUAGAAAGACUCCAGGACAAUGCCAUAUUCAGCCACACAGAAGACAGACCUCUCCAGCUGGGCAGCCUGGACCCUCUGGUUUUGUUAGAAGAUGGAGUUCGGGAGCAUGGGCAAGAAUGCUAUAGGACUGGCCCUUGUCUUUAAGACUUAGCCUCCUGGGUCCUGGGCGCUCAUCAAGACUCACCCACGGGGACCAGGAACCAGGAUGCGGGGCUCCUGUGGGAGCCGUUGCUAGUGAGCAGAGCAGGCUGAGAAAUCUGGGAGGAACCCCAAACGUUGAGCCUGAUGUCUGCUAGCAUGGGGGUGGCCUGGGCUGGGGGGUAGCCGAGGAUCCUGGAGAUGAGGCAGGAUCACCUGAGGGUGCCUCGGAGGGAAUGUAUUCUACGUGGAGGUGGAAAGACUCAGGCACUAAAAGAAUGACUCCGAAGCAGGGAGGACACAGGUGGAGGAGGGUGGAGGGAACCGAAGGGAGGGAAGUGAGAGAGUGGGGAUCCCUUGCACCUCCCUUUGAGGCGCUGCUCGAGGGGUUUGGAUCUCAGAGUCCCCCACUUUCUAAAGAAGUCAUUUUCUUCCUAACU
rnacentral:lncRNA from 1 species